rnacentral:lncRNA from 1 species
CACUUUAUCAUGGAAUUCAUUUUGAAUUACUAGUUACACGAAACAGGCUGUUCACUUAGGAUAAAUAUCACUUUGGUUGGAAAGUCUCUUGCAUAAGGUAGAUUGUAUUCUUUCUUUAAUAAUAACAUGUUAACAAAUUAAUGGAAAAGUAAUAGAAUUGUUGCACAAAAUGAAUGUCAAGUUUAUUUUGGUGGAUGUCGAAAACGAGUUUAUAAAAAGACAGAAAGAAGAUUUAACAUUCAAAUUUCAUAAUUCAGUAAUCUGCUUUGAAUAAGUUGUUACACUACUAUAUUUUCCCUGGUGGGUCUACUCGACCCGCACGGCCUGUGUGGGUGUUUUUUUUAAAAUGUAAAUCGAGUUGAAAUAACAUGCCAUAGAAAUAAAUAGAAAUAAAAAAAAAACAGGUCUAUAAAGUAUUAUGUAGUAUAAACCAUAUUCAGUGCUUUACAGGAUUGUAUAGUUGAGUCUAUCAUUUUUGUUGUACUGACAACUAUAUUAACCAUUUCAGGUUGGGAACAACCCCUCAAAUGAGGGGUAACCUAUCAUUGUUAUGACUAUCCCUAUUAUGAGGGGUACACUUCAAGUCAUAUAGAAUAUAUUUUUUUUUGUAAAAACCACUUAGUACAAAUGAGCACAUAUUUAUAUUAUCUGAAGAAACUUUACCCAAAGAACCAUAGGCGGGUCCUAUGGGGGGGGGACCUUUCUUUGGAAAAAUUUGGUUGAUUAUAUGAUUAUAUAGGGAUUCACUGAAGCAAGACUGGAGCGGGGCCCCCUUAGGAUAGUCAGCAGCCCCCCUCCCCUAUGAUAAGUUCUGGAUCCGCCACUGAGAACUUUACAUCUAUCUGGUAUUAAUAUAUGGUCAAAACAUGUCCAAAAAUUUCCCCCUUUUUAAGUUAAAAAAAUCAAAGUUUUUCUUCAACAGCUAAUAAAAUGUCACCCCAUUGACUGAUGGACAGUCCCAAAUUUAAGGGUUAUCUCCACCUGUGGGUGGUGCAACCUGUAUGUUAAUUUGUGUAGGUCCUGCCAAAAACAUGAAUGAUACAACAAAAUCAUAUUUUAUGGUCACUAUGGAAAUGUGCUACAUGCACAAUAUGUGAGGUAAGCUAAGCAUUAUUUUGAAUAUAAAAUUAACUUGGCAUGUUUUUUUUUCCCAUAUGAUUUCUCUUGUCUAAAAAUGUCAAGCAAGCUAUAGUUAUGAAAUUAUAAAUUUAACUAAUGAAAAGGAACAUUAAUUACUAAAAUGUCAAGGCACAGGUCAUCAACAAACAUAACUUUUCAGGAGAACUAGAUAAGUUUAUUUUACAUGACUUCAUGACAGAAAGUUUUAAAUGGAAAAUAAAAAAAAAAAAUGAAAUUUCUGCAUGAAAAUUUCAAAGAAUUAAGCCUAUCAAUAAACCAAUAAAUUAAAAAUCCUUGCCUUAUUAAAACUCAAAUUAUUUUAUAUUUCACAAAAGUAAACACUUUCCCGAAAGUAAUUCCUCUUGUCUGAUAAUAUAAACCACCUGAAUUUCAAUAAUAGAGUCAACAUAUUUAUACAGCUGAAAUUUCUGUAUCAGAAAAAAGUACUUUUUUUUAUAAAAGAAACCUGCGUCUUCAAAUUCAUAAAAUCAAAAUUUUAAUCAGACUGAUAAUGCAAUAUGUUUAAAGUGCUUAGUGGAAGACCACAAUUAGGCACUUUAUAAUAUUAAGCACUGAAGCCUCUGAAUAAUUUGGAAGAUUUUUCAAUGAUAAUCCCAAUGAUGGCAGUGCAAUGCAUUGGAGUGGUACCACAAUGAUACUAUUAUAUUUGUUAACUUUUUUUUAUGCACCACCUACAAUAGUGGAGGGCAUUAUGUUUCUUGGUCUGUGCGACGCCGUUUUCGUCGUUGUUCAUCCGUCGUUCAUCUAUCCAUCUGUCCCGCUUCAGGUUAAAGUUUUUGGUCAAGGUAGUUUUUGAUGAAGUUGAAGUCCAAUCAACUUGAAACUUAGUACACAUGUUCCCUUUGAUAUUAUAUUUAAUGCCAAAUUAAAAGUUUUGACCCCAAUUUCACGGUCCACUGAACAUGGAAAAUGAUAGUACAAAUUCAUGUACUUUGGACACAUUCUUGUUUUUGUCAAGCCUGCAACUUUUGUUGCAGAAAACUGAACAUAGGGAUAGUGAGCGAUCCGGCGUCGGCAUUAGCUAACUUCAUGUUACGAAGGGUCUGUCAGUCACAUGUCCGAUGUCCUUGACCUAAUGUUUAUGAUUCAGUGACUACUGUAAUAAAAAGUUAAGAUUUUUGCCUAAUGUUAAAUUAUCUCUUAUUAGCUCACCUGACCAAAGGGCGCUUUUCCCAUCACUUUGCGUCCGUUGUCGGUUGUCCGUCGUUGUCUGUCGCCGUUAACUUUUACAAAAAUCUUCUCCUCUGAAACUACUGGGCCAAAUUAAACCAAACUUGGCCACAAUCAUCAUUUGGGUAUCUAGUUUAAAAAAUGUGUCCGGUGACCCGGCCAACCACCAAGAUGGCGCAUGGUAAAAAAAGAAACAUAGGUAAAAAUGUAGUUUUUGGCUUAUAACUCAAAAACCAAGCAUUUAGAGCAAAUCUGCAGGUAAUUGUUUAUUCAAGAUCUAUCUGCCCUCAAAUUUUCAGAUGAAUUGGACAUUCGGUUGUUGGGUUGCUGGUAAUUUUAAGGAAAUUUUACUGUUUUUUGUUAUUAUCUUGAAUAUUAUUAUAGAUAGAGAUAAACUGUAAACAGCAAUAAUGUUCAGCAAAGUAAGAUUUACAAAUAAGUCAACAGUACCGAAAUGGUCAGUUGACCCCUUUAGGAGUUAUUGCCCUUUAUAGUCAAUUUUUAACCAUUUUUCGUAAAUCUUAGUAAUCUUUUACAAAAAUCUUCUCCUCUGAAACUACUGGGCCAAAUUAAUCCAAACUUGGCCACAAUCAUCAUUGGGGUAUGUAGUUUAAAAAAUGUGGGGCGUGACCCAGCCAUCCAACCAAGAUGGAUGCCAAAGCUAAAAAUAGAACAUAGGGGUAAAAUGCAGUUUUUAGCUUAUAACUCAAAAUCCAAAGCAUUUAGAACAAAUCUGACAUGGGGAAAAUUGUUUAUCAGGUAAGAUCUCUGCUCAAAUUUUCAGAUAAAUUGGACAAUACGUUGAUGGGUUGCUUCCCCUGAAUUGGUAAUUUUAAGGAAAUUUUACUGUUUUUUUGUUAUCUUGAAUAUUAUUAUAGAUAGAUAUAAACUUUAAACAGAAUAAUGUCAGCAAAGUAAAAGAUUUACAAAUAAUCAACAUUACCGAAAUGGUCAAUGACCCCAGGAGUAUUGUCCUUUAUAUAGUCAAUUUUUAACAAUUUUUUAUAAAAUUUGUAAAUUUUUAAUAACAUUUUCCACUGAAACUACUGGGCCUAGUUCAUUAUUGAUAGAGAAUUGUAAGCAGGCAAGAAUGUUCAGUAAAGUAAGAUUACAAACACAUCACCAUCACCAAAACACAUUUGUCAUGAAUCCAUCUGCUUCCUUUGUUUAAUAUUCACAUAGACCAAGGUGAGCGACUCUUAGUAAUAGGAUAACUAUUUUUGGUACAUUGUAUGUGAGUACCUUGCAAGGUCCUCAUGCCUCUCAGACAGUUUUCACUUGACCUUGACCUCAUUUCAUGGAUCAGUGAACAAGGUGAAGUUUUGAUGGUCAAGUCCACAUCUCAGAUACUAUAAGCAAUAGGUGUUGUACAUUCAAUGUAUGAAAGGACUGUAAGGUGAACAUGUCCAACUCAGCUGCAGGUAACAUCUGACCUUGACAUCAUUUUCAUAGUUCAGUUUCUUAUACUGUUUGCAAUGCAAUUAUAGGUCUACUACAUUUGGUGUAUGGAAUAAUUGUUAGGUGUACAUGUCUAGCUGGCAGGUGUCAUGACCUUGACCUCAUUUUCAUGGUUCAGUGGUCAAAGUUAAGUUUUUGAGUUUUGGUCUUUUUUUUCUAAUACUAUAUGCAAUUGGUAAACUAUAUUUGGUGUAUGGAAAUAUUUUAUGAUCUAUAUGUCAGUUGCACAUUUUUUAUUUGACCUUGACCUCAUAUUCACAGUUCAUUGCUUAUUGUUAAGUUUUUGGGUUUUGAUCUGUUUUUCUUAUAAGCAAUAGGUCAAUUAUAUUUGUUGUAUGGAAGAAUUGUUAGCUGUACAUGGCUGCCUGGCAUGGUUCAUCUGACCUUGACCUCUUUUUCAUGGUUUAUAUUGCUCAUUGUUAAAAUUUUAUGUUUCGGUCUGUUUUUCAUGAACUUCAUGUAUAAGCAAUAGAUCAAUUAACUAUAUUUGUUGUAUGGAAGAAUUGUCAGCUGUACAUGUCUGUCUGGCAUGGUUCAUCUGACCUUGACCAAGUUUUUUUCCUCCAAACUUUAAUUUUUAUUUUUUAGUAUCAUUGCAAAGUUAUAAAGCAUGGAAAUUGAUAAGAAAGUGUUUGUGGUAAUUGAAAUAGCACUUCAAUCCAACGGAACAAUGUACUAAUAAAAUCUUUUGAAAAUAAUUUGUAUGAUUGUCAAUGAGACAAACUUUCAUCAGAGACCAGAUAUGUUGAGGUAUGUAACCAAUACAGUUCACACACAAUAUAGCCUUCAACACAGCAGUAUAUCCCAUAUACAUAAAGAUCUGAUUGCUAUUAAAUUUUUCUUCCCCCUCCCCCCUUUGGGUGACUGGGGACUAGAAAUACCAGGUCACCAUAGGGCUUUCUCAAACUGUAACUCCAAAAUACUAAAACCAAUUGGCAUUAAAACUAAUAAUUAUUUUUAAAAUGUUUUGAGGUAAGCUCCCUUUCAAUCUUUAUAAAUUUAAAAUUUUGUGUUUUAUAAGUCAUGAGAUUUUAUUCAUAAAAAAUUGGGGAUUUUCCCGUUUUUCAGACAAUAACUCAAGUGCUUUGAGCAGUUUUCAUGAAAAUUUGGUGACGGGUUUCUACCUAUUAAAUUAAACCUCCUUUAAUUAUUUUUUUUUUAAAUUUAUGACAUUGAGGACUUAUGGAACUUUAUACUUCAAAAGCGUCCAGCGUAUCAUGCGCUUGGAAAUCUUUUCUCUAAUUUAGUCUAACAGAACGAAAGAAAAACUUCUGAUUGUCAAUUUGGAUAUCUUCAUAUAACUUUGAUUUAAGUAUAUUUUUUAUUUCAAUUAAUAACUGUUUUCUCAUACAUAUAAGAAUAAUUUUUUUUGUAUUACAGAUGGAUGAGCCCAGAUGAAAGUUCAGUCCUGACACCUACAGGCAGACGAUUUCAUUUUAGUUGCCAGAUGAUGAUGUAAGUAUUUGCUGAUUACAAUUGUAUUUGAAACUAUGUUAAAAUUUGUUAGAUAAAAAAAAAUAGUUUUCAAAUUAGUUGGAGAAACAGCUUGAAAAUUAGUUUUGACCUUGACCUCAUUUUCACAGUUCAUUGCUCAGUGUUCAGUUUUUGUGUUUUGGUCUAUUUCUUAAACAAUAAGUAAUAGGUCAACUAUAUUUGUUGUAUGGAAGAAUUGUUAGCUGUACAUUCCUGCCUGCAUGGUUCAUCUGACCUUGACCUCAUUUUCAUGGUUCCUUGGUCAAUGUUUAGUUUUCUUGGUUAAGUUUAUGUGACAGUUGUAAUAAAGCUUUAUAUUUAGGACUAUCAUCCUGAUAGUAAAGAAGGCGAGAGGCAUUUCAGACGUGCACUCUUUGAAAUUUUAAAAACUUUCUAAAACUAUCCUAGAUUUCUACCAAACUUUGACAGAAGCUUGUUUGUGAUCAUGAUAGUAUCCAGAAGUAAAUUUUGUUAAAAAAAAAUCCUGUUUUUCCCCAUUUACCUAUAAAUUGUCUUAAGUUUUUCUGCCAGGAAACAUUACAUUCACUCUGUGGUAAAAGUUUUUAUAUGACUGCAAAAAUUUUUGGUCGUAUAUUGGUAUCACGUCGUCGUCUUCAGCGGCGUCCAAAGAUGGAUGGUUUCCGGAUAAUAACUUUAGUAUAAGUAAAUGGAAAUCAAUAAAAUGUUAACACAAUAUUUAUAACCACAAAAGGAAGGUUGGGAUUGAUUUUGGAGGCCCAAAACAUACAUUUAUCUUGUUUCAGGACAAUAAGUUGUGUAUUAGUAUUUCAAUUACUCUGAAAUUGUACCAUAAUGUUCAUACUAUUUAGUAGAAGGUUGGGAUUUCUUGUAAGGGUUAUGGGGCAAACAGUCAAGGAAUUAAGGCCUAAAAAGGGGCCAAAACAAGCAUUUUUGAAGUUUCGGGAGAAUAACUUAUGUUUAAUUGUAUGGAUCUCUCUGACAUUGUACCAAAGGUCCAUAAAAUGAGGGAAUGUUUGGUGUCAGUCUGGGGUUAAUAUCCCUAAACAUUUAGGAAUAAGAGGCCAAAAAAGGGCCAAAAAGAAGCAUUUUUCUAGUUAAUAGACAAUUAAGUUGUGUUUAAGUGUAUGGAUCUCUCUGAAAUUAUACUACAAGGUUUCUAACUACAAAGGAAAGGCUGGAAUUGAGUUUUUGGGUUCUUGCUCGAAGGGUUUUAAUAAGUUAGGGGCCAAAAAGGGGCCCAAAUAAGCAUUUUUAGCUCACCUGGCCCAAAGGUCAAGUGAGCUUUUCUCAUCACUUGGCGUCCAGCGUCGUCCAGCGUCGUUAGCUUUCACUCUUUCUUUUUUUCUUCUCCUCUUAAACUACUGGGCCAAAUUUAACCAAACUUGGCCACAAUCAUCAUUAGGGUAUCUAGUUUAAAAAAAGUGUCUGGUGACCCAGCCAACCAACCAAGAUGGCUGCCAUGGCUAAGAAUAGAACAUAGGGGUAAAAUGUAGAUUUUGGCUUAAAACUCUGAAACCAAAGAAUUUAGUGCAAUCUGACAUGGAUUAAAAUUGUUUAUCAGGUCAAGAUCUAUCUGCCCUGAAAUUUUCAGUUUAAAUGGACAAUGGCUUGUUGGGUAACUGCCCCUGAAUUGUUAAUUUUACGGAAAUUUUGCCGUUUGAUUAUUAUCUUGAAUAUUAUUAUAGAUAGAGAUAAACUACAAACAACAAUAAUGUUCAGAAAAGUAAGAUCUACAAAUAAGUCAACAUGACUAAAAUGGUCAGUUGACCACUUCAGGAGUUAUUGCCCUUUAUAGUUAUUUUUUACCAAUUUUUCGUAAAUUUUUGUAAUCUUUCAUAAAAUUCCUCUGAAACUACUGGGCCAAAUUUAACCAAUCUUAGCCACAAUCAUAAUUAGGGUAUCUAGUUUAAAAAAUGUGUGCAGUGACCCGGCCAACUAACCAAGAUGGCUGCCAUGGCUAAAAAUAGAACAUAGGGGUAAAAUGUAGAUUUUGGCUUAUAACUCUGAAACCAAAGCAUUUAGAGCAAAUCUUGACAGGGAAUUAAAUUGUUAAAAAAUAUCUAUGUUUAAUAAUAAUAUAUAAUAUAAUAGUGUUCAGCAAAGUAAGAUGUAGAAAUAAGUCAACAUGACCAAUAGUCAGAUGACCCCUUAAGGAGUUAUUGCCCUUUAUAGUCAAUUUUCAACAAUUUUCAUUAAUUUUUACAAAAUAUUUUCCUCUGUUACUAAAGGGCCAAUUUUAUUAUAGAUAAAGAAAAUUGUAAGUGGCAAGAAUUUUCAGUAAAGUAAGAUCUACAAACACAUAACCAUCACCAAAACACAAUUUUGUCAUGAAUCCAUCUGUGUCCUUUGUUUGAUAUGCACAUAGAUCCAAGGUGAGCGACACCGGCUCUUAAGAGCCUUUAGUGGUAGUUUACAGUCAAUAACUAAAUUCAUAAUAUCUAAUAAAAUUUGUAGAUUUAGCUAACAAAGUCCUUAUAUUUGUAUAAAGUAACAUUUGUUUAUAGUGGAAAAUUGUUUUAACCUUGAAUAAAGCUUCAAUUUAAAAUUGCUUGCUAGUCCCUCUCUGAUUACAUUAGAUAACUCUGAUCAUUUCCCAUCAAUCUAUCAUAAAGGGACAAUCAAUAAUUCGAUUUUGAUUGAUAGUCUUUUUAAAAAAUGAUGAAUGGUUCUUUAUAUUGGUAUGUUAUCAUUUUAAACGUUUCAAAUUUAUGAAAUGAUAUUCGUACACCAAUGUUUUUGAUACACCAAUAACUAAAGCUGAAAUAUAUUGAAUUGAUACAUUUUGUAAUUAUUCAAAAUUAUAUCAGAAACAUAUAUUAUAAAAUAAGGAACCUGUUAAAGGGAGACAAUACUUACAUAACUUUUUCGAAUUGGCACAUAAUACAACGGAAUGCCACUCUUGCAUACAAAUGGCACAUCAAUAUAAUUAAUUAACUCUACAAUCGUGCUCCACCUUCAAUGAUGAUUCUAAAUUAAUUAUAAAUAUAACCAAAAUUUGUUAAUCUAUAGAUAGUGAAGACUAAUGAAAGCUAACCCACUGUUAAAAUAUUUCUUUGCAAUUUUUUAAAACUUCCUCAGAAAAAUGCUCUAGCCACUUGACUUUCAUAGCUCAUAAUUAACGUUUUUACACAAUAUUUAGAUCAAGUAGCUAAAGUUUAUUCACUUCUCAAAGUGUAAGAAGCAAUAAAAAUCGUAUGCUUGCACCAUCUUACCCAAAUACAGAUUUAAUUAAGUUCUGAACAUUUCGACAUUUCUUCGUUUAUUUUUAUGAAAAACUGGUUUUAAACAAAUCACAAGUAUGUGUUAAGAUCCGACUAAAUACCUAUAUCCCGAUAUCGUCGGGUAAAUUUGCUAGUGUAUGGGAGGUAAUCCAAUUAAAAUUUUAAGAUACUAUUAAAAUUAUCCUUACUUGUGGAAAGACCUGCAAUUGUUCUCUGAACAAUUGGAUUUUAAGUUUCUUUAUAUUUUUAAUAGCCUAUAGAAAAUAUAUAGCAUAGGUAACUUCAAAGAAUCGAAAGUGAUGUAUGUUUAUCUAUACUGAGCUAAAAAAGUUUAGCAACAAAAAUAUGAAAUUUUAUUACAAAAUGAUAAUAAAAAAAUGGAAUUAUGACAUGUCAGAAGCAACAUGAAUGUUUAACACUCAUAUUCAUUAGGAUAUUUUUUGUAUAGAGCACGGGAGGGUCAAAAUGCGGAAAUGAGUAUAGUGUUAUUCAAAAUCAAUUCCUCUGCCAUGUUCUAAGUUCUAAGGAUUGGCAGGAACACCAGCAGCUACCCUUAGUCAAUGCACUACUCUUGUGGCCAGAAAAAACUUACCACAUGUUGACGAUUGUUGUUUUUGGUCUACAGCAUAUCGACCUAUCCUGUGUUGUUGCAAUUUGUUGAUUUCUGUUUGCUAGUCCCUAAACUUUUGACUUAUGCACUUAAAAUCGAGCCACGACGUCAGCAACACUCAUGCCGGCAUCAACCAUUCCAAGAGCCAUCUGACCGUCAUUUUCCGAGAGGCAUGGUUGAUGCUUCAUGCAAUUUUUUCAAACUUUUAUGUGUUUUUCUUACCAAUGGUGUGUUUCUGAACGUGUGUGCAAAAAAAAAAAAAAUUUUGUUUUAAAAGUACAGGUACAGAAAGUGAAACAUCAAUUACACGUGCAAAGCUGAAAUGGCACGAAAUCAAUCACCUGGCAAAAAGUACGACUGUUUAAAAUUUCAAGUAAAACUAAGGAUUAUAUCAAUGAUGUUUAAUAAAAAAAAAAAACAGAAACAACAAAUAACAAUGAAAAAAAAAGUGUUGCUAAACUUUUUUGGCUCAGUAUAUCAUUUUUAUGUUUCAUAUGUAUGGUGUUUUUUUCUUUCUUUUUUCUAUAGGUGGUAUUUCUUUUCUUCUAUUUUUUGUCGGCUGCAACUUUUUGUUGCAAGAAAGCUCGACAUAGGAUAGUGAUCCGGCGGCGGCUACGGCGGCGGUGUUAGCUAACUUCUUAAAAGCUUUUAUUUUAGAAGGGGAAGACCUGGAUGCUUCAUACUUUGUAUAUGAGAUGCCUCAUGUUACGAAGUUUCGUCAGUCACAUGUCCAAUGUCCUUGACCUCAUUUUCAUGGUUCAGUGACACUUAAAAGCAAUUUUUUGUAAUGUUGAAUUCUCUCUUAUUAUAAGUAAUAGGAUAACUAUAUUUGAUAUGUGCGUACCUUGCAAGGUCCUCAUGUCCUGUCAGACAGUUUUCACUUGACCUCGACCUCAUUUAUGGAUCAGUAACAAGGUUAAGUUUUGGUGGUCAAGUCCUAUCUCAGAUACUAUAAGCAAUAGGUCGUUGUAUAUUCGUGUAUGGAAGGACUGUAAGGUGUACAUGUCCAACUGGCAGGUGUCAUCUGACCUUGACCUCAUUUUCAUGGUUCAGUGGUUAUGUUAAUUUUUGUGUUUUGGUCUGUUUUUUUUAUACUAUAUGCAAUAGUCUACUUAUUUGUGUAUGGAUGAUUGUAAGGUGUAACAUGUCUAGCGGGCGUGUCAUUACCUUGACCUCAUUUCAUGGUUCAUGUGGUCAAUUAAGUUUUUUGAGUUUUGGUUCUAUUUCUAAUACUAUAUGCAAUAGGUCAACUAUAUUUGGUGUAUGGAAAUAUUUUAUGAUCUUUAUGUCAGUACAGGUUUUUUUGACCUUGACCUCAUUUUCAACAGUUCAUCCAGUGUUAUUUUUUUGUGGUUUUGUCUUUUCUAAACUAUAAGAAUAGGUCAACUAUAUUUGUUGUAUGAGAAGAUUGUUAGCUGUACAUGUCUGCCUGGCAUGGUUCAUCUGACCUUGACCUCAUUUUCAUGGUUUCCUUGGUCUUUGUUUAGUUAUUUUGGUUAAGUUUAAGUUAAUGAGAAGUUUGUAAUAAAGGCUUUAUACUUAGGACUAUCACAUAAUAUCAAUGAUUUAAUAUAGAAGGCGAGACAUUUCAGCGUGUGCACUCUUUGUUUUAAUUUAAUUUCCAUUUUCUAUAGGUCACUUUAAAGAAUUAUAAGUGAGGUAUGCUUAUCUAUUUCAUUUUAUAUUUUAGGUGACGUCCAGGAUCAGACAGUGAGGUAAGUUUUGAUAGGAUUGUGUGCAUUUUUGUAUGCCU